rnacentral:rRNA from 1 species
UACGUAGGGUGCAAGCGUUGUCCGGAAUUAUUGGGCGUAAAGAGCUCGUAGGCGGUCUGUCACGUCAGGAGUGAAAACUCGGGGCUCAACCCCGAGCCUGCUUCUGAUACGGGCAGACUAGAGGUAUGCAGGGGAGAACGGAAUUCCUGGUGUAGCGGUGAAAUGCGCAGAUAUCAGGAGGAACACCGGUGGCGAAGGCGGUUCUCUGGGCAUUACCUGACGCUGAGGAGCGAAAGUGUGGGGAGCGAACAGG